rnacentral:piRNA from 1 species
AGAACAAACACGGACCAGAAGAGUGUGCA